CAUGUACACAGUUGACAAGUUCCAUUCUGGGAAAGAGGAGAUUCGCGAUCCUUUACCAAGGUUUCAUGUAGUUCAUCUGUUCAUCAUUUCACCUUUUUCUAUAUAGACGUUAACCCAGUGCCUUGACCUACACACGACAUUCUUUAUUAGAUCCUUUAACUUGCACAACAUACAGUGUAGAAGGAUAUUCCAAACAUGAAAAAAUUAAAAAAGCAAACGUAAAUAAUCAUAUUUGCAGUCAGUAUAAACAUAAAUAUCGACGAUAUUGAUAUCGUCGUUGGACCACCAAAUGGAGAUAAGUGAGAAUCUUUUUGUUCCAGGAAUACUUUGUCCCUUUCUGGAAUGGAACUAGAACGAUUCUCACUCCACUUGGUUCAAUCGUCUUACAGUUCUUUAUAUUUAGUUCUUUACAUUUUUCCAAUAUUGUGACGGACUAUACAAUUUGGUGAAAAUGUUAUAAAACCAUUACUGCAGCAGUCUCAUUUUUCUCAUGGUUUGCUGAAUAGCGAGACCACCAGCGCCCUCUGCCUCACUACGCAGCUAACCAACAGAACCUGCCAGCCCCGGCCCAGUCAAACGAGCACUGAACGUGGUAAAAUCCAACAACUCCUUUCUCCCUUUUGCCUUUACCUCCGGCUUUUUGAAAACAAUUCUUUGAAUAAUUUCAAAACUUUCCAAAAUUGUCCAGAAGGAACGACGACAACUGUAGUUAUCAAUCA